GACCAAACUCCACCUGACAUAUAUUUAGAAAGUCCUUCCUUCAACGAUAUUCACCAAACGAAACGAGAAAUCGCGCCGCUUUCCUCACCGUCCCUCCUGUGUAUAUAUAGCAAGGCAGGGGACGCCACGCCACAACGCCCUCCUCCUCUGCCCGCCGCUCACCUCAACCUUCACCUCAGCAGGUCUCCUUCACUCCACUUCGCCCGCCCUGCCCCCGCCCCUCCAACAUUUUUUACCUGAGCCGGCAGUCAGCACGCAGCACUCCGAGCCAUGAGGGUGACAGCAGUAGUGGCAGCGAUGCUGUGCCUGGUCUCCGCUGGUCUCGCCUCGCCGUUGCCUCAGGAAGGACAAGAGCGUCUCUUCCCGAGCAUCAACAUCAACAACUUACUGGACCCAAUUGUCACCAGCCUGCUUAGUAACGCCAACGUAGAGGCUCUUGCUGAACUCUUCUUUCCUUGUGAAGAGAAUAAAUCCUGCAUUAUAGUGAGGAAUGCCAAUUUAAACUGAGCCACCGCUACUCCCUGCCUGCCUCGUGUGGACCUCGGAGAACUGACUGGCUGGCGUUGCACUGACACAAUCAACUCAUAUGCGAAAAGUUGCUGGUUAUCUUUCUCCAUGUGGCCGUUGUGUUGACCUGAGUUUCGCCCUUAAUCUUAGCCAUUCACAAUGCCUCAUCGUAGCACUAUAUGACCCCUGUUGUUUGGUGAUUCAUGCUCCUCCUCUUCCUCCUCUACCGCUGAAAUGGCUCCUGACACCAAGCAGUAUUCACAAACGCUUUGCUCUCUUACAACAUUUAUAUUCAAAGGCUUUCUCGGUAGUGUUUAUCCUGUUAAUAAUGUAGAAAUCUUGUUAGUCUGCCGCUAGAAAGUUAAAAAGACCCUUGAAAACCCCUGCAACUUAAUGGAUACGGAGCCUUUGGAAUAGAGAGGUGUGGCGCGGUAGUGUUUCAAAAGUGUUGCCCCGCGUAAACACUGUGUCGCCUCCAGCCACCACCUUCCCUACCUUUACUUCUUGCCAAAACAGCACGGCAAAUCACGUUUUCCUGUACUUAUUCUUAACCGCUUCAGUACUGAAGCGCAUUUUUACCUUGAAAUUUGUGUGCGAUUAGACAACUUUAUCGACAUUAGGAAGAGUCUAUGGAGGUCAGAAGAUUAAUGGCUAGAGGCUUCACUAUUCUAAUCCCCCAUAUUAGUUCCUGAAGCUCUAUAAAAAUCACCAAAUAGUCACCAAUAUUAAUAUGGAAACACGUAUUCUAUAAUAGUACACGUUCUUAAUUGCUGUUCCUGUUCCUUUGCUCCUUGUCUGCUCCUUUGUGUGUGUGUGUGUGUGUGUGUGUGUGUGUGUGUGUGUGUGUGUGUGUGUGUGUUGCGCCACUGCCAGCUUCACCUUACUUCACAUAUGUUGCUCUUAUAUCUUUAGUCAGUUUAUUUCGUUGUUUUUCGCUUUUCGUCUCUUUUUUUGAAGUGUUUCUCUAGUCUGUUGCUUUCUGUUUAGUGUGUUGCCUGUAAAUAGUCUCUCGUUUUCUUUUCUUUUUUUCUUUUCUUUUUUUUUGCCAUUUUCUGUUGUUAGUUUUCUACCUGUUUGUUUUCUACCUGGUUUUUUUUUUCUACUUGUUUUUUUUUCUACCUUUUUUUCAUACCUGUUAUUAGUUUUCUACCUAUUUAUUUUUCCACCUGUUGUUUCUCCUACUUGCUCUUUUCUUCUCUUUCUUUCUUUCUUUCUUCUCUUUUUUUUCUACCUGUUGCUUUUUCUACCUUUCGUUUAUUCUUACCUGCUUCUUUUCUUAUUAUUUUUCCACCUGUUCUUUUCUACAUGUUUCUUUUCUCUUUGUUUUUUUUUUCUAUUAUUUUCUACCUAUUCUUUUCUCUACCUGUUGUUAAUUUACCCUGGAGGAAAUUAUAUUCAUUUAUUUUUAUUUCUUUACAUGUUUAAGAAUAAGGAAACAAUAAAAACACGAUGAAAAAGAAAAGGAAAAUGAAAAAAAAAACGCAGAGGGAAGGAAAACAACGAAGCAAUUUCCACAUUUUUUUUUCUUCCUUUCAGUAAUUGAGUAUCAGAAAAAAAAUUAAGAGAGAGGAAAAAAAACGUGUCUUCAUUGUUGGUGUGUUCGUUCGUUCGUGUUCGUGUCUGUGUGUUUGUGUGUUUGUCUGUGUUUGUCCCGUCCAAUAAAAGUUGAUAUUUGCUA
rnacentral:lncRNA from 1 species